GCUGAGGAAAUGGUCGGCCUGGUCAUGUGGCAGUGGAGGGCUGGGAAUGGAAGAGGUGGCUGUUAAGUCCUGAGCCUUUGGCCCUGGUCAGCUGUGCAGCCUUCCUACAUAUCUGGCCCCAGAUAACAGGCUGGUGCCUGCCCACUCAGUAAAUAAUAAAAUGACAGUAAUACCAGGGACAAAUUCUGUCUCUGCUGGGAAGGGCGCUUGCUCACAGGACACAAGACUAGGACUUCCAGCCCCACCCCUUGCUCUGCCCUACAGAAAACUUGCAGCUUCCUAGAAGGAGGGCCUGGGGACACUGCAAGAGUGUCUGACACUCCCUGGCUGCCUGUUCUGAGCCGCCGGUCUGGUCCCAGGCCUCCAUCACAGGUCACACCCUAAAAACCCAGGGUAUGAGAGGAGGAGAGCCCACCUCCACCCCAUAGAGGCUGUAUGGCAUAGGGAGGAGGGAAGGGCUCCGUCCUCUCUCAGGAGCACCCACUGUACGCAGGACGGCAAUCGAGAGAGCCUGAGGGUCUCUCCAGAUGCCACAGGAGGAUCCCAGAAGCAAAAGGCACAAAGGGCCGCAGGGGCCGCAGCACACGGGUCACGUCCACCCGCACCAGAUGUGGGGUCUCAGCCAGGGCGGCCGGGAGCACAGCUAGGAGCGCAAGUAGCGCGGCGCGGGGGCGCACAGCCGGGACAGUGGCGGCUCCGGGCCGCGGGGAAGACAUGGCCGGGGCGCGGUGUCCCACGGCCCCGAAGCCAGGAGCACAAGAAAGGAGGGUCGCACAGCUGGGGCAGGGGUCUCGCGGCCAGGAUGCAGGGCCGCUGGCGUAAUUCCUGGACCUGCCCGGCGUGGAUCCCACCAACUGCCCACUGAAAACAUUUUUUAAAAAAAACAAAACAAUGGGUUAGCUCACUGGCUCACACCUGUAAUCCUAGCACUCUGGGAGACUGAAGUGGGAGUGUCAUUUGAGCUCAGAAAUUGGAGACCAGCCUGAGCAAAGAGUGAGACUCCAUCUCUACGGAAAAAAAAAAAAAAAAAAAAAACAGAGAAACUGGGGCGGCACCUGUGGCUCAAGGAGUAGGGCGCCGGCCUCAUAUACCGGGGAUGGCGGGUUCGGCCCCAGCCAAAGAAAAAAACUGCAGAAAAAAAAAAAAAGAAAGAAAGAAAGAAAAGAAAAAACAAAAAUCA